AUUCCGGCUGCUCGAGUGAUGGCCACUAUUACUGGGUUUAAAGCGUCCGUAGCUUGACUGUUAGGUCUCUUGGGAAAUCUUUUGGCUUAACCAAAAGGCGUCUAAGAGAUACCGGCAUUCUUGGAACUGGGAGAGGUAAGCCGUACUUCGGGGGUAGGAGUGAAAUCUUGUAAUCCUCGAGGGACGACCUAUGGCGAAGGCAGCUUACCAGAACAGCUUCGACAGUGAGGGACGAAAGCUGGGGGAGCAAACGGGAUUAGAUACCCCGGUAGUCCCAGCCGUAAACAAUGUGCGUUAGGUGUGUCGGUUACCACGCGUAACUGAUGCGCCGAAGAGAAAUCGUGAAACGCACCACCUGGGAAGUACGGUCGCAAGGCUGAAACUUAAAUGAAUUGGCGGGG
rnacentral:rRNA from 1 species